CAGGGAGCAGCAGCCCCAGCCCCCGGCUUUGGACCCACGAGGUAGGAAAACAGUUGUAGCCUUGUUUUUCUAAAAUGUAAUUAAAAGUGGCUGUUUGAAGUAUUUUUCCACAAGGCUCUGUCAUUCUCAGCCAGCAAUUGUCAAGCCUAUUAAGAGGGGGCACUUAAGAGGCCAAAAAAUUCUCUGCCUUUUUUUUCCUGCUUCCUUCCUGUGAUGUUUGAUCUAUAGCACCCGUAGAACUCUGUGUCCCAGAGCCACAUUGUGGAGUGUGAUCAUUCUGUUUGGAUUCUUGCAGCCACCCCAGGCACUUCAGUACCCAGUGCUCCACUUGGCCGUGCAGGUUGUACAGCACCAGUUGCCUCCAGGUCAUCACAGAGCGCACCUGAGGAAGAGCAAUGGCCACCAGCAGAUCUGGGCCUUGCAGUCGAGCAAAUGAUUCGGGAGAUCAGGAGGUCCCUGUCUGAAAGAUCUCCCUCUGCUCAGGACAAUAUUGGUGUUGCCCCUGAAUCGUCAGGAGGGGAGCCUGUGGACAGAGCUGCAGCAGAGGAGACUUCAUCUGGCACUGAGAGCUGCAGGAGCAGUUCCCCAGAGCCCGAGGAGCCUGAUGCCAUCUGACCAACAUCUCCAGGAGGGCUGCCCUGCAUGGCAGGAAGAGACAGAGGAGAGCCUGUGACAAUUGGGCAGGUAGAAUUCCUCUGUUUGUAGAUACAUUUAUAGAUUUCUAUGGUUCUAUUUAUCAAUGCUUAUACUUCUAUUUAUAUAUUAUUAUGUUCUGUUUAUAUGUCCAUAUAUUUGUAGAUCUGUGUAGUUAAAUGUGGAUAUGUAUAGAGUUUCAAAAGUGAUAGAAUUUUAUUUCUAUAGAUGUAAUUAUAUUUAUAGAUUUUCAAAGUUAAAUUUAUAUAUAAGUAGAGUAAAAAAUAUAUAUAUGUAUGAAGUUAUAUUUAUAAAUGUGCACAGUUAUAUAGUAAGAGGAAUAUGAGUGUUUAACUGAAUAGAUUGAUGUGGUGUAGGUCUAGGAUGCAUUUUUACUUCUUUCCCCCUCGGCUGCCUUUUUCACCUCUUGCUUUUCCCCCUGUGCCCCCUGUGUCCCCUCUCCCUGGGCUGGGUCCGAGCUGGCGGCCGGGCCGGGCGCAGCAGCAGUUCCAGCCCCGGCUGUCCCUGGAGCGCUGGGAGCUGCCGGUGGCCCCAGGCAGUGUCCCCUGAGGAGCUGCUGAAGGACGCUGUAAUGAAGACCUUGAGGAGAGCAGGAGACUGCCAGGAGCCAGCAGGGAGAAGCUGAGGGCCAGCAGCAGGAGCAGUGAGCGGGGCCCUGCUGCUGCCAGCCUGGAGAGAGCCCGGGAGAUCUGCUGAACUUCGUCUGCAGGAUCAGAAGAACCGGUGUCCUUUCGCCACCCCCAGUUCCCACUGAAGAUGGGAGCACCUGCAGAGCAGAGGGGACCACCUGCAGCUCCAGGCCCAGCUCUUGCUGGUCACAGCUGAGCCUGUGGCAAGCUCC